rnacentral:rRNA from 1 species
GAUGAACGCUGGCGGCGUGCCUAAUACAUGCAAGUCGAGCGAACUUUUGGGAGCUUGCUCCCAAAAGUUAGCGGCGGACGGGUGAGUAACACGUGGGUAACCUGCCUGUAAGACUGGGAUAACUUCGGGAAACCGGAGCUAAUACCGGAUAACAUUGACGACCACAUGGUCUUCAAUUAAAAGGUGGCUUUUAGCUACCACUUACAGAUGGACCCGCGGCGCAUUAGCUAGUUGGUGAGGUAACGGCUCACCAAGGCGACGAUGCGUAGCCGACCUGAGCGGGUGGACGGCCACAAUGGGAAUGAGACACGGCCAAGCAUCCUACGGGAGGCAACAGGAGGGGAGCAUCCGCAAUGGACGGAAGUCUGACGGCGAAAAGCCGCCGGAGCGAAGAAGGCCUUCGGGUCGUAAAGCUCUGUUGUUAAGGGAGAACAAGUAUCGUUCGAAUAGGGGGGUACCUUGACGGUACCUAACCAGAAAGCCACGGCUAACUACGUG